GUGCUCACUUCGCAGCACAUAUACUAAAAUCAGAAUGAUACAGAGAUUAGUAUGGCCCCUAUGCAAGGAUGACAUGCAAAUUCAUGAAAAUAAAGACCUUUGC
ensembl:snRNA U6 U6 spliceosomal RNA